CACGAACGCUGGCGGCGUGCCUAACACAUGCAAGUCGAGCGGAGAAAUUAAAGCUUGCUUUAAUUUCUUAGCGGCGGACGGGUGAGUAACACGUGGGCAACCUGCCCUUGAGAGGGGGAUAACACAGAGAAAUUUGUGCUAAUACCGCAUAACAUUUAGACUUCGCCUGGAGUUUAAAUCAAAGGAGUAAUCCGCUCAAGGAUGGGCCCGCGGCGCAUUAGCUAGUUGGUGAGGUAAUGGCUCACCAAGGCGACGAUGCGUAGCCGACCUGAGAGGGUGAUCGGCCACAUUGGAACUGAGACACGGUCCAGACUCCUACGGGAGGCAGCAGUGGGGAAUAUUGCGCAAUGGGGGAAACCCUGACGCAGCAACGCCGCGUGAGCGAUGAAGGCCUUCGGGUUGUAAAGCUCUGUCUUUGGGGACGAUAAUGACGGUACCCAAGGAGGAAGCCACGGCUAACUACGUGCCAGCCGCCGCGGUAAGAC
rnacentral:rRNA from 1 species